UGCUACUAGUUUCAGUAUUUAAAGUAGCAUGGACUCGAACACAUUCUUCAUUUUUUGCACCAUUGACUCAAACCCUGGGUGUUUGUCGCGCGCUCGACUGUUUGACAGCUCUUUUUUUCUGUUGAUGAAAAAAUGUGUGCCCCCGAGUUGGAACUGUUGGAAUGGUUUCGUUUGCUUUAAUCGAUAAAUGGAACUUCCUCUUUCGCAUUCGGGGAACAAAAACCGGUGAGCCCGUUUCCAAGCAGGAGAUGAUCAAGAUGGAAGAUACUGUUCGGUUAUGUUUUUGGAUUUUAUUUAUCCUUGUGUGCAAGCCCGGAAUCAGACUGCAGUUGAAACGGUGCCGCAGGAUUUAUCACUGGAAACUGGCGCGGAAGCAAGGAAUCGAUUUUUUUUCGUAAAAGGAGGAGGAGCUGUUGGGUGCUUAAUCGUUAAUCCUGCGGAGAGCCACCAAUAAUUUUAGUGUCCGCUGAAGUGCCGUCAGACUUGGGAGCUGCAUGGAUCCGCUCAAGCAUAGACAGCACACAAGGAUCGAUUUGGAAUUUCUCAAGAUUUCCCGCAAUCAUCCGGAUUUGAGACUACGGUAAUCGGAAAGGAAUCCAAAUGGCCACAACAUUUGGACUAGUUUUGUCUUUGAAUCAUCUAUCCUUACCUGUGGAGAACGCAAGUCUUAGAAUUGUUGUGAUUGGCUGGAUUAUGGCUUCUUCUUCGGAUGCAGACAUGCUAUUUGAGGGGACAAUCAAUGCAAACAUCCAACUUAAGGUGAUUUGGCCGGCACUGGAACCCUUAGAAGAGCCUCGUUUUAUGAUCAAAGAAAGCAGAAGUGUUAAGCUAGAGUUCCGAAUUUUACUGGUGAGGAAAACAGUGCGAAGAAAGGAGGUGGAAAAUAAAUAAAAACCAAAAUAAAUUGUUCUUUUUACUAAAAAGAAAUACAAUCCAAUCAUUGAAACCAACG